UCAACUGGAUAUCCAUUCAGGUGGGAUAGAUUUAGCUUUUCCACAUCAUGAAAACGAAAUUGCACAGUGCGAAGUCUUUCAUCAGUGCGAGCAGUGGGGAAAUUAUUUUCUGCAUUCUGGGCAUUUGCACGCCAAAGGCAAAGAAGAAAAAAUGUCCAAAUCAUUAAAGAACUACAUUACUAUUAAGGACUUUCUGAAGACCUUUUCCCCCGAUGUCUUCCGGUUCUUCUGCCUGCGGAGCAGCUACCGCUCAGGUGAGCCGAGCACACGUGGAGUGGACUCCCCCCCCAGCUCGGAGACAGUCAUUCUGACAGGACUGAAAACAGCAAAAUGCAGGCCAGAGAAUAAGCAGAACCUUGUUGAGUGAGGCUGCUGUGUGCCUUACGGUUCGGGUUGAGAGUGAACCCAGAGGACGAGGGAUCCCAGUGCUGGUCUGGGCCCGGCCCACAGUGGAUGUGGGCUUCCUCGUCAAGCUCGAGUCCUCUCCACUCCUUCUCUCUGGGUCUGGACAAGUCGUGAACCCGCAGCACCUCGGCUUCCUGCUGUGUGAACUGGGAGAUUGGAAGGGGCCAGCCUGGCACGGCCCCUGAACAUGGGAGCCCUCAAACGUGACCCUGCCUGUCCUGCCCAGGGGCAGCACUUCCCCGAACGGUGUGUAGCAGAGCAAGGUCUCCUGGAUGGGUGAUGACGGUUCCUCCCAUGCUGCACAGUUACCUGCUGCCCCGGGCUAGGCUCUUGGCCAGGAGUUGUCUAGCACUGGCCUGGCAUGGUGGCUCACGUGUAUGAUCCCAGCACUUUGGGAGGCCGAGGCUGGCAGAUGUUUUGAGUCCAGGAGUUUGAGACCCGCCUGGGCAACAUAGUGAGAUCUUAUCUCUACAAAAAAUACAAAAGGCCUGGCACGAUGGCUCACACCUGUAAUCUCAACACUUUGGGAGGCUGAGGCAGGUGGAUCACUUGAGGUCAGGAGUUCGAGACCAGUUUGGCCAACGUGGUAAAACCCCAUCUCUCCUAAAAAUACAAAAAUUAGCCAGGCAUGGCGAU
rnacentral:lncRNA from 10 species